UACGUAGGUGGCGAGCGUUGUCCGGAAUUACUGGGCGUAAAGCGUGCGCAGGCGGUUGUGCAAGACAGAUGUGAAAUCCCCGGGCUCAACCUGGGAAUUGCAUUUGUGACUGCACGGCUAGAGUGUGUCAGAGGGGGGUAGAAUUCCACGUGUAGCAGUGAAAUGCGUAGAUAUGUGGAGGAAUACCGAUGGCGAAGGCAGCCCCCUGGGAUAACACUGACGCUCAUGCACGAAAGCGUGGGGAGCAAACAGG
rnacentral:rRNA from 1 species